UACGUAGGGUGCGAGCGUUGUCCGGAUUUAUUGGGCGUAAAGAGCGUGUAGGCGGCCAGGUAGGUCUGCUGUGAAAACUCGAGGCUUAACCUCGAGAUGUCGGCGGAAACCAUCUGGCUAGAGUCCGGAAGAGGAGAGUGGAAUUCCUGGUGUAGCGGUGAAAUGCGCAGAUAUCAGGAGGAACACCAAUGGCGAAGGCAGCACUCUGGGACGUGACUGGACGCUGAGACGCGAAAAGCGUGGGGAGCAAACAGG
rnacentral:rRNA from 1 species